UACGGAGGGUGCGAGCGUUGUCCGGAAUCACUGGGCGUAAAGGGCGCGUAGGCGGCGCGGGCAGUCAACGGUGAAAGCUUGGGGCUCAACCCCGAGUCGGCCGUCGAUACUCCCGGGCUGGAGCACUGUAGAGGAAGAUGGAAUUCCCGGUGUAGCGGUGAAAUGUGUAGAGAUCGGGAGGAACACCGGUGGCGAAGGCGGUCUUCUGGACGGUGACUGACGCUGAGGCGCGAAAGCGUGGGGAGCAAACGGG
rnacentral:rRNA from 1 species